CAGCAACCACGGGAAUACGGAGGGUGCAAGCGUUAAUCGGAAUUACUGGGCGUAAAGCGCACGCAGGCGGUCUGUCAAGUCAGAUGUGAAAUCCCCGGGCUUAACCUAGGAACUGCAUUUGAAACUGGCAGGCUAGAGUCUUGUAGAGGGGGGUAGAAUUCCAGGUGUAGCGGUGAAAUGCGUAGAGAUCUGGAGGAACACCGAUGGCGAAGGCAGCCCCCUGGGCCAAUACUGACGCUCAUGCACGAAAGCGUGGGGAGCAAACAGGAUUAGAUACCCCUGUAGUCCCUGUCUCUUAUAU
rnacentral:rRNA from 1 species